rnacentral:rRNA from 1 species
AUUGAACGCUGGCGGCAUGCCUUACACACGCAAGUCGAACGGCAGCACGGGAGCAAUCCUGGUGGCGAGUGGCGAACGGGUGAGUAAUGUAUCGGAACGUGCCCAGUCGUGGGGGAUAACGUAGCGAAAGCUACGCUAAUACCGCAUACGAUCUAUGGAUGAAAGCGGGGGAUCGCAAGACCUCGCGCGAUUGGAGCGGCCGAUAUCAGAUUAGGUAGUUGGUGGGGUAAAGGCUCACCAAGCCGACGAUCUGUAGCUGGUCUGAGAGGACGACCAGCCACACUGGGACUGAGACACGGCCCAGACUCCUACGGGAGGCAGCAGUGGGGAAUUUUGGACAAUGGGCGAAAGCCUGAUCCAGCAAUGCCGCGUGCAGGAUGAAGGCCUUCGGGUUGUAAACUGCUUUUGUACGGAACGAAACGGCGAACUCUAACACAGUUUGCUAAUGACGGUACCGUAAGAAUAAGCACCGGCUAACUACGUGCCAGCCGCCGCCGUAA